rnacentral:rRNA from 1 species
UACGGGGGGGGCAAGCGUUGUUCGGAAUUACUGGGCGUAAAGGGCUCGUAGGUGGCCAACUAAGUCGGACGUGAAAUCCCUCGGCUUAACCGGGGAACUGCGUCUGAUACUGGAUGGCUUGAGUUCGGGAGAGGGAUGCGGAAUUCCAGGUGUAGCGGUGAAAUGCAUAGAUAUCUGGAGGAACACCGGUGGCGAAGGCGGCAUCCUGGACCGACACUGACGCUGAGGAGCGAAAGCCAGGGGAGCAAACGGG